AAAGCCGGAAUAGCUCAUUUGGUAGAUCAGAGGACUGAAAAUCCUCGUGUCACCAGUUCAAAUA
rnacentral:tRNA from 1 species